AUAGAUAAUGUGCUUAAAUAAAAUAACAUUUUUCUGACCACUGAAAUGCAACCGACACUUACUUAUUUCUGCUGCUAAAUUUUGAGUCUUGGCAAUCCAUUCUCAGAGUUCAAUGUCCUUUCCCGGUUUCUUACAGUUGUUGGCAUCGUGGUACUUUGCACCUGCCUGUACAGAUGUCUUAAAAGGGAGAAGAAAGGGUAAAUUAAAGUAUAUUUCUUCCAGCUCAUAAUCCUUCUCACUCUUGACAUACUUUUGUGCAGCUUUUUUAUUUGUCCCGCAUGCUGUCUUUUUUGAAAACUAUGCCUUUGUGAGUGUGCCAUCCUGGUUGCAUGUGUUUACUGAAACAAUCUCUGGCUGCUUUUACUGUCACUGCACCCAGAUCCCUCGCAGAGUGGCUCCAGCUAUUAGGACUGCAAGAAACAUUUCUGUGGGAUUUGAGAUUUAAAAUAUGUAUCAAAUCAUGGACCAUUCUGGCACCUUCCCUACCCAGCUUUACCCUAUUUCCUAGAUUGGACUAGUGGCCGAGAUUAGAUUUAGAACCGUUCACUGUGAAGACUUGGGAUGGUUGUAUGCACUGGAAUUUUUACGAUGGAAGUUUCCAUCUGUCUAUGCAACUCAGAUUGUCUCUCAAAACCUUCAGCUGAAGUUGGCUUAUUGUUCUACUACCCAUCUGACUGCCUGGAUCUCCUACUUCACAAAAGUCUCCAUGACCUUUCCAAGGCACACGGGAUGCUCUCACAACUGGUAAGUUUUGAGAAGGGUUUGAUGAGGAGCUCUAGCACCUUUCACAGUAAGUAUUCACUUACAAUGAAAGAAAUGUAAAAUGAGAGAUCAACAUCUCUUACAAUUCCAGCUGGAAGGAAAGAAAGUCGAAAUUCAGGCCACAGUGUGGCAAGACUGGCAUCCCUACAGGCAUGUUGAGUGAGUGUCCUUUAUAGAAGUUUCUUAAAAAUAAAAAAUAAAAAAAAGGAUUUUAUUUAUUUAUU
rnacentral:lncRNA from 1 species